rnacentral:rRNA from 1 species
UACCGAGGGUGCGAGCGUUGUCCGGAAUCAUUGGGCGUAAAGGGCGCGUAGGUGGCCCGGUAAGCGUGCGGUGAAAGCUUGGGGCUCAACCCCGAGUCGGCCGUGCGAACUGCUGGGCUUGAGCACUGUAGAGGCAGGCGGAAUUCCGGGUGUAGCGGUGGAAUGCGUAGAGAUCCGGAAGAACACCGGUGGCGAAGGCGGCCUGCUGGGCAGUAGCUGACACUGAGGCGCGACAGCGUGGGGAGCAAACAGG